rnacentral:rRNA from 1 species
GAUGAACGUUGGCGGCGUGCCUAAUACAUGCAAGUCGAACGAAGACUGUAGUAAUACUGUCUUAGUGGCGAACGGGUGAGUAACGCGUGGGUGACCUGCCCCGAAGUGUGGGAUAACAGUUCGAAAGAACUGCUAAUACCGCAUAAUAUCCAAGAGAUUAGACGCUUUUGGAUUAAAGGAGUAAUUCGCUUCGGGAGGGGCCCGCGUCCCAUCAGCUAGUUGGUAAGGUAAUGGCUUACCAAGGCGAUGACGGGUAGGGGACCUGAGAGGGUGGCCCCCCACAAUGGAACUGAAACACGGUCCAUACACCUACGGGUGGCAGCAGUAGGGAAUAUUAGUAAUGGGCGAAAGCCUGAACUAGCAACGCCGCGUGUGCGAAGAAGGCCUUCGGUUGUAAAGCACUUUUGUAGAGGAUGAGGAAGGACGGUACGUCUCAGAAUAAGUCUCGGCUAACUACGUG